CGUAAACCGUUAGAUUGAAAACUAAGAAAAAUAUUUUUGGUAUUAUUAUGAAAAAAUUAUAGUGUAAAAAAGUACAAAAUAAAAUAAUAAAAAUGUGCUGUUGUUACGACGAAGUAUGAAGUACUUUGAAGUAACUCCUGUCCUUGUGGCGUCAUGUGAGACUAAAUGCGAUACUCCUGUUAUAUGUUACCCAUGCUUACCACGUUGUCCAAAGGCACAAUUAGUUUACUGCUGCGAUAAAAAACCAAACUCGCAAGAAAGACCCAGAAAUAAUAGCCAUCCGGGAAAAAGUAGAAGUAAAACGGAAACAAUAUAAUGUCGAAGGUCAUGCUCGCCACCUUGUUGCACAUCCUGUAAACAGCCAAGCUGUGAACCUGUAAAUGUGAAAUACGUGAUCCCGUGCUAUGGAUACGAAGAUGGUAGAAUUGUAAACCCUAUGCCCUCCUCAGCUUUGAAAAGAAAUGGACUUCAAGAUCAAAAGUUUAUCGAAAGCGGAGGAAUUUCAUAUAAAAGAAAAAGUUGGGAUAAUGCGUGUUGGAGCGAUUAUCCAUUUUGCUUUCCAAUUCAAAACACGAUGAAACUCCCUGUUAUUGUUGCUAAGAAGUGAUGAAUCUAUUAGGUGAGAAAACUGCCGGUUUCUGCUUUCAAAAGGAAUGGAAUGCAGGACCAAGAACAUUCGAAACUCAUGGGUUCUACCAACUUUCUGAUGAGAUGUCCUCGUGAUGUAUUAAUAGAAUUCGAUGUCUGCUCAAAGCCUGUUAAAAUAUGCGAUCCCGUUAAAGUACCAACAUACGCAAGUGAAGAUUUAAAUCCUAAACGAUAUAAAAAGCGACCUAUUAAAGUUGCUCUUGAAGAUGUUUUAGAUGACUAAGAAUUCAUACUCUAGGUAAAUCAACCUACGGUUCUUAUGCGGCGCGCCUGCGAGGUCGCUGUAGGUAACCGAACAAGAAGGAAACCAUUUGUCGAGACAAGUUACAGCGCAGAUUCAGAAAAAGAAAUAAGUCGCUACGCUUCAGAAGAUGACUGGGGUAAUUGUUGUUAUCAUUUUGAGAAAAAAACAUGUGAUCCUGUUCCUACGUGUCACCCUAGCAUCUCUUGUCCUGGCAACUGCGUUCCAGCGAAGUGUAUUCCUAAGAAAAAUUGUUACUACUAUUGCUGUUAACUUGUUGUUCUAUAUUUUUUUUAAAGAUACGAUAUUAAACUUAACAACUGGCGGCUAUAUUAAAUUAUAUUACCAGAUGUA